GUGUUCCCGAGAGUUCCCCUUGACCACUUCAUGAGGGCUUAAUACUUCAUUUCUGUAUGUCCUGCUGAAGUGUUUGGGGGAACUCCGUGGAAUCAC
rnacentral:pre_miRNA from 1 species